GGGUAGGGCCCCAUUGCGCAUGCGGAUUGUCAGCGCGGGCCCGCUUGCUUCUCCGGGAGUCGUAGCUACGGUUUUCUCCCGGGCCUCUUCACUACCAUGACCCGCCUCACGCUCCAGUCCCUUCGCGAAGUCGUCAAGGCCGUCACGGAGGCGUCGGGUUUUGAUCGAGUGCUAAACAAGAUGACAGUUCUUUCUGCUGACUCUGGAAAAGUAGUCUGUGGAAUGGAGGUAGCAGAAGAGCACACAAACCGGGGAGGAACUCUGCAUGGAGGGCUGACGGCAACACUCAUUGAUGUCGUGUCGACAGCUGCUUUGCUGCACAGUGAACGAGGAGCACCUGGAGUCAGUGUGGACAUGAAUAUUACCUAUGUGUCGGCAGCUAAGAUUGGAGAUGAAAUCCUGAUCACUGCUGAGAUCCUCAAGCAAGGAAAAAGGCUGGCCUUUACCACCGUGGAUUUAACAAACAAAGCAACUGGAAGAUUGAUAGCCCAAGGAAGGCAUACCAAAUACCUAGGAUCCUGAUUGGACAAAGGGAGUGUCCAAUUAAAGGCUUGGAGCUUUGACCCAGCAACAUUGGGAAAGAUAGAUAAAUCGCAACAAAGUAUUUGCUGGAGGUGUAGGAAACAGAAGGAGACAUUCCUCCAUAUUUGGUGGACCUGUGAGACCAUACAGGCAUUUUGGGAUAAGGAAACUUAAGGAGACAAAUAAAAUGCUACAUAAUAAGAUUAAAAAAGCAUAGGGUUGUGUUUGUUAGGUUUACAUCAGUGAUUCCCAAAGUGAGUGCUACUGCCCCCUGGUGGGUGCUGCAGCGAUGCAGGGGGGCGGUGAUAGCCACAGGUGCAUUUGGUGUGGGGCCGGGGCACGGGGCCUCUUCCCAAGUGCUGGAGACAGGGCUAAGUCCCUGAGGUGCCUGUUAGGAAACAGGAGGCGGAGCUAGAAGAGUGGGCAUGGCUGAGUGGGCUGAGAAUCUAUACCUCUCCUGAGGCACGUGUUGGGACACAGAUGGCAGAGCUAGAGCCCAAGACAGGGCUGAGCCUGUAUACCUUUCCUGAGAGGCCUUUUAGGACUAAAGGGGGGGGGGGGGGCUAGGGGCAAGGGUGGGGCCUCUUGCCAAGAGCAGGAGACAGGGCUGAGCCUCUAUAUACCUCCCCUGAAGCGCUUGUUAGAACACAGGGGUGGGGUAUAGAGGUUCAGCCCCGUCAGGCACUUGGGAAUAGGCUCCGGCCCCUCCUCUAGCCACGCCCCCUGUGUCCUGGCAGGUGCUGCAGGACAGGGAUAGAAGCUCAGCCCUGCCUCAGAGCUUGUAAUUCCGUCCAUCCCAGUCCUGGCUGCCCAUUUGUGGCCCUGCCCACCUCCCCUCGCAGCCCUGCAUCUUGGACUAGGGGAAAGGCUCAGCCCUGCCCUCUUGAGCAGGAGCCACGCCCACCCUCUAAGCCACGCCCACCCUUUCCAGGGGGUGUUGAGUAAUAUUUUUCUGGAAAGGGGGCAGUAGGCCAAAUAAGUUUGGGAACCACUGGUUUACAUAGAGAAAACAAUGAUCAAAAGGACCAAAAAUACACCAAUAUAGCUUUGCCAUGGCAAGAUUAACCAUGGCCAAAGACCGGAAUGGGGAAAAAAGUUUAACUAAAAACGAUUGGAGGGAGAGAAUGCAGGAAUAUAUGCUAAUGGCCAAACUAACCAAAAUAGGAGGAACAAAAGUAAUGAGGACUUUCUGGAAAAGUGGAAGUUGGCCAUGGCAUAUCUGAGUGGAGUGUCAGUGACAUAGAGGAGUGCCAUUAGGAAUUUAGGAUUAGGCAAUGGACAAGGGUAGAUAAAUUGGCUUAAAGGCUUCAUAGUGCUUCAGUUAUCGGAAGUCAUGGUGAAGGGUGCAUGGGUCUGGGAAAGAGGUUUUAUUUUGUGUGGGAUUGGGGUUUUGGGUGCCUGUAUGGUCUGUAAUACGUGUGGUGUUGUUUGAAUGUUAUGGUGAACUGUUAUAUUAAUAAAAUUAAAUAUCUGGGGAAAAAGCUUGGAGUUUUGAGAAAGCAGAACAAAGCAACUUUAGAACAGUACUAAAGUGCAAAAGAUCAAUGUUCACUAUAUCAAUCUUCUUUACUGUUCAUCUACAGCAGUGGGUCCCAACCUGUGGGUCCACAGAUGUUUUGGCCUUCAACUCCCGGGAAUCCUAACAGCUGGUAAAUUGGCUGGGAUUUCUGGGAGUUGUAGGCCAAAACACCUGGGGAUCCAUAGGUUGAGAACCACUGAUCUACAGUAAGUUGGUGGCCUAAAUUCAGAUUUCCUCUUCUUUAUGCAUCUUUGGUUAUGAACUGUCUUCAUAUCGCGUCUCCCGGUGAGUGGAAUAUAAAUGCAGGCAAUCAUUUGUCCUCAUGGCGGAGAGGGAAUAGCAGUGUGGUGUAGUCAAUAUUAGCCAGAUUUCUACCCAGUUGGAGAGAAGCAUACACAGAAAUCACCAAAGCAUACAUUCAAUGUUAAUAACUUACUAGGGUAGAUAAGCCACCAGUAAAAACAAAGGGUUUCAACCACAAUUGCAAAAACCACACAAAACCAUCACAUAAACAAGAAUGUGGAAGAAAAUAUUUUUGGGGGAUUUCUGCUGGAUCAUUUUCCCUUUGGAAAAUUGACUUUAUUUUUACCUUAAAUCCAAACUGGGAUGGUUGCAGGAAUCCAAGGUGACUUCCCUAUUGCUCUAUUCAGAAGACAUUAUUGGAACCAUAUGAUCUGUUUUGAGUACUUUGAAUCCAGUAUUGAAUGAAUGUCACAUCUGUUAAACAUCACAUAAUUAUUUCAUUCAUUAUCUGUUAAGUUAUUGAUUCAUACUCAUUCAUGUUGAAGUGCGCAGAGGUAAUAGAUAUUGGAAUUUCACAGUUAUUUCCAAAAUAUUGAAUCUAUCCUGUGGGUCUUUUGUUAAAAAAUGAUUCACGUCUUGAGAACUUGCUGUCUGUUAUGAAAAUUUGGUAUUGUAAAAUUUCCUUAACCUUGUUCUAGUCCCUCUUCAAAGUUGACUUCAAAUAACACCCACAUCUCUUUUGCUGGAAUUCACAUUUCUUAAUACAAUCACUAACAUCAUUGUCCAUCAGUUUUAGUCCACUAAGAUUUAGUGAAAGUCUUCCAAAAUUUGAGCACCAUAAAUAAUGGAUAUUUCGGAGCAAUGAUCGAUAUGGUGCUGUUCUUGAGAAGGUUUCAGUGAUUCAUAGUACCUUGUAAAGCAGUCAUAUUUAUUAUCAUCGUAUUUGUUUAUAGUCUGCUUUUUCCCAAAAAUUGGGACUCAAAUCAGCUUACAUAUUUAAAAGAUUACAAUUAAAAGCAUACUAAAAGUCACAUUAAAACUGAAUUAAACGAAGAACCAUAUUAAAAGCACACCCUCUAAGAGUUUAAAAACAAUAAACAAUCCAAUCAAAACAACAGAGCAGAACACUUACAGCUCCUUUUCACUUCUAAAAGCCUGUCCGAAUAAAGUUUUUGUCUGUUGCCUUUAUUUUACUUUUUUUUUUGGGGGGGGGGGGGGGCUUUCAGGGGCUUCUGUUGAACAGAUACAAUUUGAAUACUUGUUUCUUGGCAUUGACAUUUCUAUGAAUAUAUGCAUUUCACCCCCACCCCCCAGACAUCAUGCAACACUUCUUGGUGUUAGUGAUCAACCAGUUCAUGUGUCUGACUCUUGGCUGUAGUCCCUAUUUUUCCUCAGGUCCUAUGAUUUUAUUCUUGUUUGUUCCAUGUGAGUCCUGUUUUUUUCUCUCCCUAAAAGUAAGAUGUAUCUGCACACACACAAGGAAUAAACUAGUGACAGCCACACAAAUUAUGAUGGGCUUUAGUGGCUCCUUCGGGUCUGGCAGCCUAUGGGUCUUUUAAUACCUGAAGAAUAUUUUACAUUAAUGAAGACUGUUUCCUCUAUAGUCCUUUUAUUUAAUUUUCUAUGGAGCCCCCAGUGGCACAAUAGGUUAAACCCUUCUGCCAGCAAGACUGCUGGCAGACAGGUUAGCGGUUUGAAUCCGGGGAGAGCUGGUGAGCUCUCUGUCAGUUCCAGCUCUCCAUGCGGGGACAUGAGCUAACCCUCCCAUAAGGAUGGUAAAACAUCAGGGCGUCCCCUGGGCAACGUCCUUGCAGAUGGCCAAGUCUCUCACACCAGAAGCGACUUGCAAUUGCUCUUCACACGAAAAAAAAUUGGGUUUUCUAAUAUAUUUUGCAUUGUGGAGUCUGAAACAUCUGGCUGUUUGAUGCUCUGUGAACUGUCUUCCUGUGUCCAUAGUACUGAUUCCUCUUGAAUAAUACUUUGCCUGAACGUAGAUUCGAUUUCUUCUUUUUCUUUUUCAUUUACUUUUCCAACUCUGUGCCCAGAAUGAUGAGGGGGAGGACUGUAAUCUCCUAGUGGUCACCAAUGCGUUCUUUCUCUUCAUUCCCACUAUCAACUCACAGAUGCAGCCGGCUGGGCAGAAGUCCUGGUUUACCUGCUGGCCAACAAAAUCACUUGAUAGUCAACAUACUCCCUCCCCCCUUGCUAUAUUUCCCAACCAGGACACAUUCGUAACUCUGAUGUUCAUAACUCAGGGACUGCCUAUGUUUUGUGUUGCACUGUCAGGAGUGUCUGGUUCUUCUGUGAUGCUUUAUGAAGUGUCUUCCUGUGUCCAUAACACUUUAACUCCUGAAGAAUAUUUUGCAUUAAUGAAGACUUGACUUCUUCUCUAGUAUUUUCAUUUACUUUACUGGGAGCCCCCAGUGGUGAAGUGGAUUAAACCCUUGUGCUGGAAGGACUGAUGACUUGAAGGUUGGGUUGAUGACCUGAAGGUUGCCAGUUCGAAUCCAACCCGGGGAGAGCAUGGAUGAGCUCUUUUUAACAGCUCCAUGUUUGGCCUGCAGCAUGCCAGAAUAAUCACUCCUAUGGCAACAAUGGGUUCCCAAAGCGCUUGAAACUUGCCAGAACUUUUAGCUUACUGUAACUUCUGGGACUUUUUUCCCAAUCCAUGCAUUGCAUGUUUGUCCGUGCCUCCAUUUUUGGCAUAUUUUAGAAUUCCAGAUAAAGGAUGCCCAGACUGUAUUAACCUGCUAAGUGCAUUAGUUGCUUUAUCGGAUGUUAAAUUAAGGUGUAAAUUAAUUUAAGUAUGUGAAUAUGAAAAGAAAGGAGGAAACCAAAGAGAUCAUUGUGAGUUCUAAACAGUAAUCUUAAAUAUUUCAAUCAAACUGCCCAAGUUGAAUAUGUAUAUGGUACAAAGCCGUGCGUACCUCUAGUACCUUAACUUGCACUCUUAAAAACUAUUUACUUGUGUAGACUGUUUACAGUUAAGUAAAAUAAAACUGAAAUACACAGAAUAUUUUACAAGACUGUGUUAAAAUAUGCUGCAAGCUCAGAUUUUAAAUAUAGAAUCAGUACACAUCAUGGUUCAACUAAUUUAUUUCUUUUUUCCAAUUCCAAACAAAAGCUAAAUACAAAUUUUGAACAGAUAAGCACUAGAUUACCCAAAGGGAGUAGGCUUAUACAGAUUUACUUCAGUAAAAUUACUCAACCCUUAAGCAAAGCAU